AUUGAACGCUGGCGGCAUGCCUAACACAUGCAAGUCGAACGGCAGCGCGGGGGCAACCCUGGCGGCGAGUGGCGGACGGGUGAGGAAUGCAUCGGAAUCUGCCUGGUUGUGGGGGAUAACGUAGGGAAACUUACGCUAAUACCGCAUACGACCUGAGGGUGAAAGUGGGGGACCGCAAGGCCUCACGCGAUCAGAGGAGCCGAUGUCGGAUUAGCUAGUUGGGGGGGUAAAGGCCCACCAAGGCGACGAUCCGUAGCUGGUCUGAGGGGACGACCAGCCACACUGGAACUGAGACACGGUCCAGACUCCUACGGGAGGCAGCAGUGAGGAAUUUUGCGCAAUGGACGAAAGUCUGACGCAGCGACGCCGCGUGUGGGAUGAAGGGGCUACGCCCUGUAAACCACUGUUAGAUGUGAAAAAAAGAUGGCUUUGCCGUCCGGGAUUGUAACAUCAAAGAAAGGACCGGCUAACUACGUGCCAGCAGCCGCGGUAAU
rnacentral:rRNA from 1 species